CUCCUCCCCAUUCUCUCUAUGCAGCCCCUGUUUCAGCAAGAGAGCGGGACCCCCAGUGUCGCUGAGCGAGAGGACGCGUGCAGGGGAGCCACCCUGGGGUGCAGCCCGCUGCGGGUGGUACGGCUCGCCCGCGUGGGCCCCGCAGCGCCGCGGGCCGCCAUCUUGCCUUGAAAGGAGUAAACAAAGCUCUGCUGGGAGCUUGGCUCGGAUUUACCGGAGGAGGUGUGCCGGCUCCCAGCGCUGCGCGGCCCACAAGCCUUAACCUCUGUGCAAACUGAACACAACUGUUUGCUUAGUGGCUUUAUUGACUCAGUUUCCGCCUCCCAGGCAGGUGGCCUGGCGGCUACUCCGUCAUUGUUCCGCCUGGCUUUUCCCCAGCGCCACCACGGCCUCCCUGCCGAGACGGUCUUUCUUUAUUUCAGUCCGGGUCCUUGAAGAGUCAGGCUAUCAACUGACACAGCCAGUCACAGUGGAUGCUAACCUCGGUUUGAGACCUUGAUGUGGAAAUGCCUGCCUCUGAGUGCCUUCUACGUGGGUGGCUGAAGUCCAACACCUGAAGAGGUUUGAUGUCCUGUAUCCUGCCUGGUGUCAGAGUAUCCUCGACCCCCUUGAAGAUCUGUGACAAACCCAGUGGCCCUGGUCAGCAGGGGGCCACCACGGCCUGGUGAAAGGCCAGGGUUUGCACUUUAUUAACUCUCCCCAUAAUUAUUAUAGUGAUUCAUGUUCUUGUGAAAAACUGUGGGAAACCAAUUGGAGAAGGAUCCAUGCAAUGAACAAGAUUUUAUCUUUAUGCUCAGCUUCCAGUGACAGAACCUGAGGUGAAUACUAUAACCUCUGGCGAAGGUGUUUCCUUUUUACAGUUACUGGAGAAACUGUGAAGGUAUGUAAGAGCACUCAGGCCAGCAGCAUGCUGCUUCCUUCUGUUUCUCCGUCUGGUCCCUUCUGAGGCCAGUGUCCAGUCCUCCAGUCCUCGUGCCUUCCUGCACGUUCACCUGCUGAGGCCCCUAGGGACUCACUGUGUGGGCACUAAUCGGUGAUACUGUCUCUUCCUUUUGGCUGUGUGAUGGCCUCUGCUUUCAUUCCAUGAACCCCCCUCUCAGAAAGUCCCCAGGGCAAGCAAACUGCCCUUCCAUCCACCUCCCACCCCUGUCAGGUGGGCGCAGCAUCAGAAGGGCCCCUGCCCUAGAAUCCCAACUAUGUCCUUAUCAGAACACUCAUCUCAUCAAAGGCGGGACCAGAAAGAGACUGUUUACAGCCCCCUGAAGUUCCUCUUUAAGAGAUUGAAGUGGGGGUAACCAUGUGAUUCCUUUUACAAUUUGUUUUUUGUUUCGUUGACACCAAAGUUUACAAAAUAGUUGCUAUCUUUUCCUGAGGGAUUGCUGGACUGGUGGUAUUCACCGAAUGACAAUAUGGGAAAGUGGUAGGAGGGGUGACCUUUAUUUUUAUAUUGAUUUGGUCUUCAUGCUUCUCUGAAUUGAUUGACUUAAAAACAUGUACCUCCCCCCACUGGUGUUGGGGCUGUAAUUCAAAGAUCUGUGCAUGCUAGGAAAGUAUUUUACCACUGACUUACAUCCCAGGCCAAAACUAUAAAGCCAUUUUAAGAAGAAUGCUUUUAAAAGCACACUUGGAAGGGGGAUGCUGGAGAAAUGGCUCAGCAGUUAAGAUCACCGGCUGCUUCAGGGGAACCAAGUGCUGUUCCCAGCACCCACGUGGAACAUCACAACCACCUGCAACAAUCCAUCUCUGUGGGCAACCCCCAACACAUGCAUAAAGUGAAGAGAAAUUGUUAAGAUGCCCACACAGUCAUGCUGCUAUGCCUUAUCCAAAUGCUAUAAGGAAUAACAUGCUUCUUGUCUCCAUUUCUGUAAAUCUUCCUCAGCAGAACAAUGAUGCCCACAGACAGGGUCACUCUGAGCCGCUACAAGGUGUGUUUUGAAGAUCCUCUAAACAGGAUGGCAGCAUUCUCCAUCUCAGAAGACAUACUAAAAUAUAUUAUUUGCUCAUGAAGCUUUUGCACAAUAAUCCUCAUGAGCUUUGCGUUUUAGGUAAUGUUUAAGUUUCAGGCAGGAAAAGACUGUCCAGUGGUUGCAGAGUAUUAGUAGUAUCCCUGAAGUACCCCAACCCCCUAGACCCACCCUACCGCCACCCCAGCAUAGUCAUAAUCUUGUUAGUUACAUGUAGCCAGUCUUUUGCUUUUUUGUGGGUUCUUCUUCCCUGCCACCCACUCUUUAUCUCCCCCUGCUCCUGGAAGGUUUCACCCCUUAAGACUAGAUAGGAGAGAAACAGGGAGAGAGGGGAGAGAGGAAAUAAAAAAAAAAUCCCUAAA